AUGAAUCAUAAUUUAUUAGAAUACUCUUUGGCGCUCCACGAGAAGGAGGUGCGGAACAAAGGCGGAUUCACACGCAGCCAGUUCUUCCUGGUGGCCUUCAUCUGCAGCUUCGUCUACUACAUCUUCCCCGGCUACCUGUUCCAGAUGCUCACCUCCCUCUCCUGGAUCUGCUGGGUGUUCCCCAACUCCGUGUUCGCCCAGCAGCUCGGCUCGGGCCUCUACGGCCUCGGCAUCGGCUCCAUCGGCCUCGACUGGGCCUCCCCCCUGGUUCGUACCGCCAACGUCGCCGCAGGAUUCUUCAUCAUCAUGUACGUGAUCACGCCCAUCGCGUACUGGUUUAAUUUCUACAAGGCGCGGAACUUCCCCAUCUUCUCCGAUGGGCUCUUCACCGAGACCGGGCAGAAGUACAACAUCACGAGCAUCGUGGACUCCCAGUUCCAUUUCGACACGAAGGCCUAUGAGAAGAACGGUCCACUGUACCUCAGCACCUUCUUCGCCGUCACGUACGGUGUUGGUUUUGCAUCCCUUACCGCGACGAUUGUCCAUGUCCUCCUCUUCCACGGAAGUGAAAUUUGGCAGUUAAGUAAAUCAGCUUUUAAAGAGAAGAGGGUGGAUGUACAUACAAAGCUUAUGAGGAGAUAUAAGCAGGUGCCCGAGUGGUGGUUCAUCUGCAUCCUUACUGUUAAUAUUGCUGUAACUGUAUUUGCUUGUGAAUACUACAUCGAGCAACUCCAGCUGCCCUGGUGGGGAGUACUGCUGGCAUGUGCCAUUGCCUUUUUCUUUACCCUCCCAAUCGGAAUUAUCACAGCAACUACGAAUCAGACUCCAGGAUUGAACAUCAUCACAGAGUACAUCAUGGGGUACCUGUACCCUGGACGGCCCGUCGCGAAUAUGUGCUUCAAGGUAUAUGGCUACAUCAGCAUGAGCCAAGCUCUGACGUUUCUGCAAGAUUUUAAGUCGGGCCACUACAUGAAGAUUCCCCCAAGGACCAUGUUCAUGGCUCAGGUGGUCGGAACUCUGAUUGCAGCAUUUGUGUACCUUGGAACAGCAUGCCCUUGGACCUGCCCCGGUGAUGUGUUCUACGACGCAUCAGUCAUAUGGGGUCUCAUUAGCCCACGCAGAAUAUUUGGGGACUUAGGAACUUACUCGGCAGUGAACUGGUUCUUCUUGGGGGGCGCCAUUGCCCCACUCCUUGUCUGGUUUGCACACAAGGCAUUCCCAGGCCAGAACUGGAUCUUGCUUAUCAACAUGCCCUUGUUGAUUGGUUCCACCGGCCAGAUGCCACCCGCCACUGCAGUCAACUACAUCACAUGGAUAUUUGUUGGGUUUUUGUCAGGCUAUGUGGUCUAUAGAUACCGGCGUGACUGGUGGGAGCGACACAAUUAUCUGCUUUCAGGUGCACUAGAUGCUGGUUUGGCAUUCAUGGCCGUGUUAAUUUACAUGUGCCUAGGCUUGGAGAACAUCAGUUUGAACUGGUGGGGCAAUGACUUGGAUGGAUGCCCCCUGGCUUCUUGCCCCACUGCUAAGGGUAUAUUUGUUGAGGGGUGCCCAGUGUAUACGUGA
rnacentral:rRNA from 1 species